CCUACGGGUGGCAGCAGUGAGGAAUAUUGGUCAAUGGGCGAGAGCCUGAACCAGCCAAGUCGCGUGAGGGAGUACUGCCCUAUGGGUUGUAAACCUCUUUUGUCGGGGAGCAAAAGCCGGACGUGUCCGGCUGUGAGAGUACCCGAAGAAAAAGCAUCGGCUAAUUCCGUGCCAGCAGCCGCGGUAAUACGGAGGAUGCGAGCGUUAUCCGGAUUUAUUGGGUUUAAAGGGUGCGCAGGCGGAUUUUUAAGUCAGCGGUAAAAUCGUGGGGCUCAACCCCAUCCAGCCGUUGAAACUGGGGAUCUAGAGUGUGCGAGAGGUAUGCGGAAUGCGUGGUGUAGCGGUGAAAUGCAUAGAUAUCACGCAGAACCCCGAUUGCGAAGGCAGCAUACCGGUGCACAACUGACGCUCAGGCACGAAAGCGUGGGUAUCGAACAGGAUUAGAUACCCCUGUAGUC
rnacentral:rRNA from 1 species